rnacentral:rRNA from 1 species
UACGGAGGGUGCAAGCGUUUUUCGGAAUUAUUGGGCGUAAAGGGAAGGUAGGUGGUCUUAUUUGUCUGGGGUGAAAUCCCAGGGCUUAACUCUGGAAGUGCCUCAGAAACGGUAAGACUUGAGUAUCGGAGAGGGGUGUGGAAUUGCCAGUGUAGCGGUGAAAUGCGUAGAGAUCCGGAGGAACACCAGAUGCGAAGGCGGCAAACUGGCCGGAUACUGACGCUGAAGUGCGAAAGCGUGGGGAGCAAACAGG